UAAUUAUUUAGCCAAUUUAUCACCAGUGAUCCAAGAAAUUUGAAUAAUCAUAGGGCUUAUGGCUACGAGAAUCUAAGGUACACAUACUCCUGGUUAGGAAUCAUUGCCCGAGUGUGAAUUUGGCAACAUGCAUCAUUCACUGUGUUGUUGCUCUGUUUCCACUAAUGGUGAAAUUUUUGCAUACAAUUCAUAAGCAAUGUGUUUGUAAGUUGAAUAACACUGUUUCUUAUCGGUUAAAGAGGGCGCUAACAGACCGUCAGCCAGCGACAUAACAUAAAAUGAGUCAGGGACUGUAUAUGGCCGCUAGUGUUAGCUUCCUAGCUAAUACCACCUCUUUAUGCUUGUAGGCUGCAUAAGUAGGUCAUUAGCUUUAGCAGUCUGAGCAGAUUGAAAAUUUGCCUAUUAAUGUAAAGAUCAAUGAUGAUGAAAUUUUUGCAUACAAUUCAUAAGCGAUGUGUUUGAAAGUUGAAUAACACUGUUUUUCAUUUGUUAAAGAUGGCACUAACAGACUGUUAGCCAGCGAUAUAACAUAAAAUGAGUCAGGGACUGUGAAUGACCGCUGGUAUUAGCUUCCUAGCUAAUAUUGCUUCGUUAUGAUUGUAGGCUGCAUAAUUAGGUCAUUAGCUUUAGCAGUCUGAGCAGCUUGAAAACUUGCCUAUAAAUGUCAAGAUCAAUCACUUAAAAUGCUACAAGUUGAUAUUUAUUUGGAGAAAAGAAAGAAAAAGAAAAAAACUGGUUUUACAGAAUUCACAUUUUAAUUGAAUAUCACUUUCCAGCAGUGAAUACAGAUAUUUGUGUCAUAAUAAAUUAAUUGUAAGGCUUUUUCCAGAAAUACUCUUUUUAGAAGCACAACAAAGAGACGCGGCAGCCAAAUCUGUGACUGCAUCACUUCUCGCCUUUGCAUGAAUCACAAAUCAGGAAUAGCAAUUUAUCUCAGUGACACGAUUCAUCUGAACCUAACAUGAUCUCACAAGCAAGCUUUUUGAAAACAUUUCACACUUUGAUUCACUGCAUGUGGCCACCGUAGGCAGCAGAUAUUUAGAGCAUUGUGUCUCUCAUCUGUGCACGUACAAACUCUGUCCCUUUGUGCACAAUAACUCAGAUAAGAUGAUACCCAGGCGAGCUGUGCAAACAAAGCAUGUGCCUGAUCCCACUGCUGGUAAGAGCUUUACUGUCGUCACUCCCGCUUGUUGGUGUUCGGUUAAUGUUUGUUAUUUUUGAAGUGUUCUGACACUGUCAAGAGACCAGAAUGAUUGUACACUCACCUUAAACUUCCUUAUAGAAUUUGAGUGCUGGUUCAUUUUUGCAUUGAAUCCAAAUUAAUAUUUUAAAAAUGCAUCAGCAUUGCGGUUUGUGAGAUUUGUGACUGAGGCUUGUUAGCAAUUUGUGUGCACGGACAUGAGAAGUCACACAGACUGAACAGCUUUUCUGAACUUCUAAACCAUGUCAUUGACAAGUGGCAAACUUUGCAUAAGCAGUGCACCACUAAGAAGAGUAGCAUGCUAAAAUAAUGGAACCUGAACGAGAGACAAUGGCCCUUAUCGUGGUAAUCGAUGAUGCACAAUCUGUUACAAAACUGAAGUGUAUUUGGGGCAUGC